rnacentral:lncRNA from 1 species
AUUUGGGCAAAGAGUAUUCAACACAGCAACUGCUCCUUUUUAAUGAGCACAGUUUUUACAAACUAUGUUCCCUACCCUGCUUACCUCUCUAAAUCCAACCUCUCCUCUAAGGUGCUACCAGCUGUACCUGCCGCGGGCUGAACCGGGCUUUCCAGCACUCAGAUGCCUCCUGCAUCUGCCAGGCAGGUUACGUCUACUACGAUGAGAGGGGCAGGGAAGACCCUGACAGCAACAGCGAUCAGGACUGCCAACCUCAGGUGGACGAGCAGUGUGCUCCUGGAGAGGUCCGUCUGGCAUCUACGCGCCAGUGCGUUUUUCCUGACCGAUAUGACUGCUCUCCUUCUUGUGGGCCUGCAGGUGGAGAGAUUAACGCAGAGCUGGGCAUAUGUCACUGCAAGCAGUAUGUCUCUGCUGAGGAGCUCUGUGAUCAGCUGUGUGUGCUGAGAGCCCCACAGAUCUCCUUGGGAUUUGGCAUCAAUCGAAAGCUGCUUCUGAGGAUGAAUGAAGGAGAAGUGAGGGAAGUGCCAAACGUUCUGGGCCCGGAUGAACACGUGCAGAAAAGCCAGCGGGUGCGUUUGGUUCUGUUUAGUCCCAGCGGAGUGCUAGGUUUCAUUGUCUCCAGCACAGAUGUUCUGGAUGCGUUUCUCACGGGAGAUUUUUCGUCAGACCAGUUGCUGCAGAAGGGUCGUCGAGUCCAGAGGGCUUCCUCCAAAGGUAUCCAGGCCUUGCCCCUUGUUCCUAACCCAGUAGUAUGUUUGGAAGCAGGAGACACGAUCCUUUUCCAGCUUCACGUCGAUUCCCACAAUCGCGCAUCCAGCCAUUACCCUGUUUAUCAGAAGCAGCAUCUAUAUAACAGCAACCCAAGCUGGGAUUUUGGAGCCUUCCGAAGGCUAGACCACCUCAUCCAGGAGACUCACCUCAACAUCUCCUGGUUCGCCCAUGUUUUCCUGGAGUCUGGGACGUAUGUUUUCAGGGAUAGGACCAUUCAGGAACAUUUCCUCAUUGUGACGGUGAAUGAAGCAAAUGUGGGCUGUGACCCCAGAGAUGUGUCCUUCCAGCCCUCUUCUCUGUUCCAGCUGGCCAGACAUGGAGUUUUGAAGCAACAGGAUCUGAACUUGGCUCCUAACUGGGCUGCUAUCACAGCUUUCCUUCCCAAACUUCACUGCUCUCUAGCCAAGAACCUGCCUGUGUAGGAGCUGAAGAGGGG